GUGUCGCCGCCGCGGUAAUACGUAGGGUGCAAGCGUUAUCCGGAUUUAUUGGGCGUAAAGAGCUCGUAGGCGGUUCGUCGCGUCUGGUGUGAAAGUCCAUCGCUUAACGGUGGAUCGGCGCCGGGUACGGGCGGACUGGAGUGCGGUAGGGGAGACUGGAAUUCCCGGUGUAACGGUGGAAUGUGUAGAUAUCGGGAAGAACACCGAUGGCGAAGGCAGGUCUCUGGGCCGUCACUGACGCUGAGGAGCGAAAGCGUGGGGAGCGAACAGGAUUAGAUACCCUGGUAGUCCACGCCGUAAACGGUGGAUGCUGGAUGUGGGGCCCGUUCCACGGGUUCCGUGUCGGAGCUAACGCGUUAAGCAUCCCGCCUGGGGAGUACGGCCGCAAGGCUAAAACUUAAAUAAAUUGACGG
rnacentral:rRNA from 1 species